rnacentral:rRNA from 1 species
GCUGAUGCGUUGUUGGGUAGGGGAGCGUUCUGUAAGCCUGCGAAGGUGACCUGUGAGGGUUGCUGGAGGUAUCAGAAGUGCGAAUGCUGACAUAAGUAACGAUAAAGCGGGUGAAAAGCCCGCUCGCCGGAAGACCAAGGGUUCCUGUCCAACGUUAAUCGGGGCAGGGUGAGUCGACCCCUAAGGCGAGGCCGAAAGGCGUAGUCGAUGGGAAACGGGUUAAUAUUCCCGUACUUGGUGUUACUGCGAAGGGGGGACGGAGAAGGCUAUGUUGGCCGGGCGACGGUUGUCCCGGUUUAAGCGUGUAGGUGUGUGUUCCAGGUAAAUCCGGUUCACUUUAACACUGAGGCGUGAUGACGAGGCACUACGGUGCUGAAGCAACAAAUGCCCUGCUUCCAGGAAAAGCCUCUAAGCAUCAGGUAACAUCAAAUCGUACCCCAAACCGACACAGGUGGUCAGGUAGAGAAUACCAAGGCGCUUGAGAGAACUCGGGUGAAGGAACUAGGCAAAAUGGUGCCGUAACUUCGGGAGAAGGCACGCUGACACGUAGGUGAAGUGAUUUACUCACGGAGCUGAAGUCAGUCGAAGAUACCAGCUGGCUGCAACUGUUUAUUAAAAACACAGCACUGUGCAAACACGAAAGUGGACGUAUACGGUGUGACGCCUGCCCGGUGCCGGAAGGUUAAUUGAUGGGGUCAGCGCAAGCGAAGCUCCUGAUCGAAGCCCCGGUAAACGGCGGCCGUAACUAUAACGGUCCUAAGGUAGCGAAAUUCCUUGUCGGGUAAGUUCCGACCUGCACGAAUGGCGUAAUGAUGGCCAGGCUGUCUCCACCCGAGACUCAGUGAAAUUGAACUCGCUGUGAAGAUGCAGUGUACCCGCGGCAAGACGGAAAGACCCCGUGAACCUUUACUAUAGCUUGACACUGAACAUUGAGCCUUGAUGUGUAGGAUAGGUGGGAGGCUUUGAAGUGUGGACGCCAGUCUGCAUGGAGCCGACCUUGAAAUACCACCCUUUAAUGUUUGAUGUUCUAACGUGGACCCGUAAUCCGGGUUGCGGACAGUGUCUGGUGGGUAGUUUGACUGGGGCGGUCUCCUCCUAAAGAGUAACGGAGGAGCACGAAGGUUGGCUAAUCCUGGUCGGACAUCAGGAGGUUAGUGCAAUGGCAUAAGCCAGCUUGACUGCGAGCGUGACGGCGCGAGCAGGUGCGAAAGCAGGUCAUAGUGAUCCGGUGGUUCUGAAUGGAAGGGCCAUCGCUCAACGGAUAAAAGGUACUCCGGGGAUAACAGGCUGAUACCGCCCAAGAGUUCAUAUCGACGGCGGUGUUUGGCACCUCGAUGUCGGCUCAUCACAUCCUGGGGCUGAAGUAGGUCCCAAGGGUAUGGCUGUUCGCCAUUUAAAGUGGUACGCGAGCUGGGUUUAGAACGUCGUGAGACAGUUCGGUCCCUAUCUGCCGUGGGCGCUGGAGAACUGAGGGGGGCUGCUCCUAGUACGAGAGGACCGGAGUGGACGCAUCACUGGUGUUCGGGUUGUCAUGCCAAUGGCACUGCCCGGUAGCUAAAUGCGGAAGAGAUAAGUGCUGAAAGCAUCUAAGCACGAAACUUGCCCCGAG